GUUUGGAUUCCCGCUCACGGCCACCGUCAGUGGCGAGCGGAAGCUUCUGAAGCGGCGGCUCGCUGGGCCUCCUCUACGUCGACUCAGCCUGAAGGCGGGUGUCUCAGAUUGCCAGCACCAUGUGAUGGGAGCUCCAGGGCAUGCUGUGUGCUCGCCAGGAGGGGCUGGGCAAGAUGGCGUAGUCGCUGGAGCAGCUGCGGGCGCGGCACCGCCACUCUCACCCUGGCGGAGUGCAGCAACACAGUGGGGCGGCACCAGCGGGACACUCUGGACAACGCAGCCAAGCUGUUGCCCCGCUCGCCCGACUCGUUGAGAGGCUUGCCCACCCCCCAGGGCGUUGUCGUGAAGAUACCGCUGGGAGGAAGAAUAUCUCACAAUACUGGAAGAGGCGGUGGUGUUGCAAGCCUGUAAUCCAGCAGUGGAAGGCAGCAAGGG